rnacentral:rRNA from 1 species
CCUACGGGUGGCAGCAGUGAGGAAUAUUGGUCAAUGGGCGCGAGCCUGAACCAGCCAAGUAGCGUGAAGGAUGACUGCCCUACGGGGUGUAAACUUCUUUUAUAAAGGACUAAAGUGAUGCAGGUGUGCCUUUUGGUAGGUACUUUAUGAAUAAGGAUCGGCUAACUCGGUGCCAGCAGCCGCGGUAAGACGGAGGGUCCGAGCGUUAGCCGGAUUUAUUGGGUUUAAAGGGAGCGUAGAUGGGUUGUUAAGUAAGUUGUGAAAGUUUGCGGCUCAACCGUAAAAUUGCAAUUGAUACUGGCAGCCUGGAGUACAGUUGAGGUAGGCGGAAUUCGUGGUGUAGCGGUGAAAUGCUUAGAUAUCACGAAGAACUCCGAUUGCGAAGGCAGCCUACUAAACUGCCACUGACAUUGAUGCUCGAAAGUGUGGGUAUCAAACAGGAUUAGAUACCCUAGUAGUC